CCACCGAGGCCGCCAGCGCCGGUACCCCAUUGGCCCUGGGUGCGAGGGGCGGGGCCGAGACCGUCUGCUCGCGGGCCGAGCCGAUUGGCCACGCACCCUGCAGUGCCGUCACUGGCGGGGCGCGACCGACCGCCCGGCUUGGCGCGGGCGGUGGCGGGGCGGGGACGUGGUGGCUCCUGUGGCCGCGGCUUGCGUCGCGGGGAAAGCGGGAGGAGCCGGCUGGCGGGCCUGGCGGCGUUUUCCGAGUUGAGUCUCAGGGAUUUGAAGACAUGGUACAGCACUUUCUGAGCAUGUUCCUCGCUUAGGAAUUUCCUUUCCCUGCUGGCUGGACAUUAAAUAGAUUUGUGAACCUUUAGAAGAAAUGGACAAGCUGAUCCUAAAAUUCGUAUGAGUUGCAAGAGACUACAAAGAACCAAAAGAGUCUUGAACAAAACAAAAUUGGAGGACUCACACCUUGAUUUUUAAGCUUACCACAAAGCUACAAUAAUCAAAACGCUGUGCUACUGGCAUAAGGAUAGACCCAUAGAUUAAUGAGAAUAAAUAGAGAAUCUAGAAAUAAACUUUCUAUUUGUGGUCAGUUGAUUUUUGACAAGGGUGCUGUGAUGGUUAAUUUUGUUUCAACCUGACUAGGCUAUGGUGCCCAGUUGUUUGGUCAAACACUAGUCUAGAUGUUGCUGUGAAGGUAUUGUGGAUGUAAGUAACAUUUACAAUUAGUUGAUCUAAGUAAAGCCGAUUACCCUCCAUAAGGUGAGUGAGUCUCAUUCAACCAAUGGAAGGCCUUGAUAGCAAAGACUGAGGUUUACAGAGAAAGAAGCAAUUCUGCUUCAAGACUGCAACAUAGAAAAACCUGCUGGCUUCCUUUGCAAAUUUCAGACUCCAGACUACAAAAUCAACUUUUAUCUGAAUUUCCACUUGUUGCCCUGCCCGACGAUUUCAGACAUGCCAGGCCUAACAAUCAUGGUACCUAAUUCUUUAAAAUAAAUCUCUCUAUAAUAUAUCCUAAUGGUUCUUUGGAGAAUGCUGAUGUAUAUAGGUACCAAGACCAUUCAGUGUGAAAGAACAGUCAUUUUAACAAAGGUUGCUGGUACAACUGGAUAUCCACAUGCAAAAGAAUGAAGCUGGACUGCUACUUUGCACCGAAUACAAAUCUCAAAAUGAAGCACAGACCUCAAUGUGGGAGCUAGAGCUAUAACAUUCUCAGAAAAACACAUAAGACCAAAUCUUCAUGGCCUUGGAUUAAGCAUGGGUUUCUUAGACAUGACACUAAAAUCACAAAAAGACAAAGGAAAAAAAAUAGAAAAAUAGGACUUUAACGUUUGUGCUUCCAAGGAAGCCAUCAGGAAAGUGAAAAGACAAUCCAUAGAAUGGGAGAAAUAUUUGCAAAUCAAACAUCUGAUAAAGGACUUGAAUCAGAAUGUAUAAAGAACUUCUACAAUUCUAUAGCAAAAAAACAACGCAAUUAAAAAAUGGCAAAAUAUUGAAUAGACACUUCCUCAAAGAAGAUAUAUGAAUACAGAUAGCUAAUAAGUACAUUAAAAGAUGCUCAACAUCAUUAGUUAUUAGGGAAAUGUAAAUCAAAACCGCAAUGAGAUACCAGUUCAUACCCACUCAGAUGGCUAUAAUAAAAAAGACAAUAGCAAGUGGUGGUACAGAGAUUGGUGGAGAAAUUGGAACCCUUAUACACUGCUGAUGGGCACAUAAAAUGGUGCAGUCAGUUUGAAAAACAGCUUGGCAGUUCUUUAAACGUUAAACAUAGAACUACCAUAUGACUCAGCAAUUCUACUCAAGUGUAUACUCAGGUGAUGUGGAAACAUAUGUCUACACAAAACUUGUAUCAAUACAUGAAUGGUCAUAGCAACAUUAUUCAUAAGAGCCAAAAAGAAUUAACAAUCCAAAUGUCCGCCAACAGAUAAAAUGUGGCUUAUCUAUACAAUGGGAUAUUAUUUGGCAAUUAAAAGAAAUGAAGUACUGACACAUGGUACAACGUGGAUGAACCUUAAAAACAUUAUAAGUGAAAGAAACCUGACAUAAAAAGUCACAUUUUUUUGGUUACAUUUAUCUGAAAUGUCCAGAAUCAGCAAAUUCAGAGAGACAGAAUGUGGAUUCGUGGUUGCCAGGAGCCUGGGGGAGGGGAGGGGGCAGGAGAGGAAGGGAGGGAAUGUGGAGUGACUAGUAAUGGGUAUGGAGUUUCUUUGGGGGGAUGAAAUGUUCUGGAAUGUGAGGGAUGCACAACUCUUGUAAAUAUACUAAACACUCAAUUGUACACUUUAAAAGAAUGAACUUUAUGGUAUGUGAAUUAUAUCUCAAUAAAGCUGGUAUUUUAAAAAGUGCUUUUUCUUAGAGAGCUGAAGGAAAUUGAUGCAGAUCUCAAUUACUGAUUUUUUUCCCUAUUUUUUCUAUUUUUCCACAAUAUAUUUAGCUCCGUUCAGAAUACGUGGAUGGUAACAUUCAUAACCCUCAAACCUUCUGAGCAUUCCUGAGCCAAUACGUGGGGCGAAGAGGCGAUCCAGAUGGGAUGUAGCCUGUAUAUUUUCCUCUCCAUUUACUUGCUAUUUAUGGCAAGUACCUUACAGUUUGGACACAAUGACAUACACAUUUUACCUCAUGCAUUAUGAUAACAUACAUAAUGGAAUAUUAAUUGUGACAUCAAUGCACAGCUCAAACUUGCAUCCACUGGCAGGGUAGAUUUUUAACCGUCUUCAGUUAAUAAGGAAGAAACAAACAAAAGAACUUCAUAAUAGUUCAUAUUCCUCAAUUCUACAUGUAGUACCUCUUCAUACGCUAUUUUACUAUAUUAGUAUUUAUUUAACAAACAUUUCCCUUGGUCAUUUAUUUAGCAAAUAUUUAAUGGCACCUUCUCUGAAGUGGGCACUGCAGGGGUUCGUAGUGAGCAAGUGGAACUUCACGGAGUUUACAAUCCUUUGAACGAAGCCAGACAAUAAAGUAAACUGAGUAGAUCAUUUCUUAUUGUGACACAUGACAAGAAGAGGAUAAUGGGAUCAUGAAUGACGGGGGAGGAGUUGGGUCUCCACCCAGAGGACACAGUCUUUUGAGGGGAGGUGAUGUUUGAGCUGAGACUUGAAUGGUGAGAAGACACAUGAAGAAACGGGGGAAAUCCCCCAAGCAGAGGAAACAGCGAGUACAAAAGCCCCGAGGCAAAGAGAGAGUCUGGUGUGUUCUAGCCAGGGAAGAAGGGUACAGCUAGAGGGGAGUCAGCUGUGAGGAAAGGGGCUCGGAGGUAAGCAGGGGCUAGAUGACCCAGGGGCACUGAGAUAGUUCAGUGGUGUGACGUAUUCUAAGUGGAAUGGGAAGCCAACGGGGUAAGUCAGGAAUGUGACCUGAAAAACAGUUUCAAAAGAUCAUUCUGGC